rnacentral:rRNA from 1 species
UACGUAGGGGGCAAGCGUUGUCCGGAAUCAUUGGGCGUAAAGAGCGUGUAGGCGGUUCGGUAAGUCGGCUGUGAAAGUCCAGGGCUCAACCCUGGGAUGCCGGUCGAUACUGCCGGACUAGAGUUCGGGAAGAGGCGAGUGGAAUUCCCGGUGUAGCGGUGAAAUGCGCAGAUAUCGGGAGGAACACCUAUGGCGAAGGCAGCUCGCUGGGACGUUACUGACGCUGAGACGCGAAAGCGUGGGGAGCAAACAGG